rnacentral:rRNA from 1 species
ACGGGUGAGUAAUGUCUGGGAAACUGCCUGAUGGAGGGGGAUAACUACUGGAAACGGUAGCUAAUACCGCAUAACGUCGCAAGACCAAAGAGGGGGACCUUCGGGCCUCUUGCCAUCAGAUGUGCCCAGAUGGAAUUAGCUAGUAGGUGGGGUAAUGGCUCACCUAGGCGACGAUCCCUAGCUGGUCUGAGAGGAUGACCAGCCACACUGGAACUGAGACACGGUCCAGACUCCUACGGGAGGCAGCAGUGGGGAAUAUUGCACAAUGGGCGCAAGCCUGAUGCAGCCAUGCCGCGUGUAUGAAGAAGGCCUUCGGGUUGUAAAGUACUUUCAGCGGGGAGGAAGGUGUUGCGGUUAAUAACCGCAGCAAUUGACGUUACCCGCAGAAGAAGCACCGGCUAACUCCGUGCCGGCAGCCGCGGUAAUACGGAGGGUGCAAGCGUUAAUCGGAAUUACUGGGCGUAAAGCGCACGCAGGCGGUCUGUCAAGUCGGAUGUGAAAUCCCCGGGCUCAACCUGGGAACUGCAUUCGAAACUGGCAGGCUAGAGUCUUGUAGAGGGGGGUAGAAUUCCAGGUGUAGC